GGGGGGGGGGGGGGGGGGGCGUGGCGGGGGCGGGUCGGACGGCAGGGCAGUAAGAGCGUGCGGUUGCGGGUGGCGAGUGGGGGGCGUGUGCGGAAUACAGCGGAAUCUAGUUUUUCGUGGGGGGUCACGGAGGGAGACUUACGCGCCUACAGCAUAAGGCGUACGGGUGAGAGCAGGGGCUCUUCGGACCUUGCGCGAUUGCAUGAGCCGAUGUCGGAUUAGCUAGUUGGCGGGGUAAAGGCCCACCAAGGCGACGAUCCGUAGCUGGUCUGAGAGGAGGGUGAGCCACACUGGAACUGAGACACGGUCCAGGCUCCUACGGGAGGCAGCAGUGGGGAAUAUUGGACAAUGGGCGCAAGCAUGAUCCAGCCAUACCGCGUGGGUGAAGAAGGCCUUCGGGUUGUAAAGCCCUUUUGUUGGGAAAGAAAAGCAGCAGGUUAAUACCACGCGGGUCUGACGGUACCCAAAGAAUAAGCACCGGCUAACUUCGUG
rnacentral:rRNA from 1 species